ensembl:lncRNA
AACGGUUUAUGAGGCUUCGAAGCUCAGAAGCAAAGAUCCUCCUUGUGAAUCUCCUGAGUUGGGUCUGAGGUCAUUCCACAGCUGAGCCGGCAGACACCUGGGGUCCCACUAGGCAGAGGAGGAGCCUGAGCUGCUGCUGGCAGAGUGCCUUGCUGGACACCUCACAGGCUGAGCUACGGCCUUGUUUAUUCUCUCACGCGUCAGCUCCACAGGCCACAGUUGAUUGGAUGAGCCUGAUCACCUGACACAAGCUGGGCCAAUCACAUCCUCUCUCCUGGGAAUUUGGAAAAGAAGCGUCAGAGACACCAAAUACACCAAAUUAGAAGCUCUUCACUCUCGGUCUGUAUUGAAAUUGCCUGGGGAAAUUCUAAAACAUACACAAAUUCUCACAGGAAGUCCGGGCAUUCCCCUAGAUUCUGACUUUAGUUAGUCCAGCGUGGAAUGGUCUAAAUUAGAGCUUGGUUUUCAGGGCUUCCCAAUGCAGCAGGGAGCAGCACAGUGGAAGCAGGCACGCAGAGGACAAUGACAUGGACUUUGUCAGUGAGAAGCUGGAAUGAGAAACCCGGGCCUUAGCAAGUGUAGACAGUGCCUUCACUCCCAAGAGCUUUCUAAGUUUGGGUUCGAGGGCAGCCCCACCCUUCGUGAUAAUUUCUGCUCUUGAAUCCUUUUUCAAAAUACUUCCUCUGAAGCUACUUCUGGUAGUUUCUAUGCAUACAACAGAACGAAACUUCACCAAGCCAUUCUCACAGCUUGUUCAUCACAAUCCUGCUGAUUUUAUCCUAGAAAUCCUUCUUAAAUAUCAUCCCUGUGACCUUUGCAGAAAGAGUUCUCAGUUUUGUCCUUCCUCAGAGGACUCUUCUCAGGUGUCUUCUUUCAGUCCCCACACUAAGAAUACUUCAUUGGCCUCUCAUUGCUAUUAAAAUACAAAACAGUUCUGUAUAAACUGACCUGUAAAAAUAUGUCACUGAUUGGAAAAACAAACAAACCCGCCGAG